GACGAACGCUGGCGGCGUGCUUAACACAUGCAAGUCGAACGGAAAGGCCCUGCUUUUGUGGGGUGCUCGAGUGGCGAACGGGUGAGUAACACGUGAGUAACCUGCCCUUGACUUUGGGAUAACUUCAGGAAACUGGGGCUAAUACAGGAUAGGAGCUCCUGCUGCAUGGUGGGGGUUGGAAAGUUUCGGCGGUUGGGGAUGGACUCGCGGCUUAUCAGCUUGUUGGUGGGGUAGUGGCUUACCAAGGCUUUGACGGGUAGCCGGCCUGAGAGGGUGACCGGCCACAUUGGGACUGAGAUACGGCCCAGACUCCUACGGGAGGCAGCAGUGGAGAAUAUUGCACAAUGGGCGGAAGCCUGAGGCAGCAACGCCGCGAGCGGGAUGACGGCCUUCUGGUUGUAAACCGCUUUCGCCUGUGACGAAGCGUGAGUGACGGUAAUGGGUAAAGAAGCACCGGCUAACUACGUG
rnacentral:rRNA from 1 species